AGAAUCAACGCUGGCGGCGUGCCUCAGACAUGCAAGUCGAACGCGAAAGUCCCCUUCGGGGGAUAAGUAGAGUGGCGCACGGGUGAGUAACACGUAGGUAAUCUACCUUUGGGUGGGGAAUAACAACCGGAAACGGUUGCUAAUACCGCAUAAUGCAGCGGCACCGCAUGGUGACAGUUGUUAAAGCGGGGGAUCGCAAGACCUCGCGCCUAAAGAGGAGCCUGUGGCGGAUUAGCUAGUUGGCAGGGUAACGGCCUACCAAGGCAACUAUCCGUA
rnacentral:rRNA from 1 species